AGCCAGGAAAUGGGAAAUGUGUAGUGGCUUCCAGCUUUCAGCCAACCUGAAAUGUCAAGUGACCCUUUAAUAUCACUUUACAAUAGGAAAUGUGUAGUGGCUGCUAGGUUUCAGGAGUUCCUAAAAUGUCCCUUAGAUUUACUGUAGUACUGUAGAUGAGGAAAUGUGUAGUGGCUGCUAGGUUUCAGCAGUCCUGAAAUGUCAAAAUUAAUGAUCUUUUACAUUAAUUAAGCUAUAGCCAUGCUAGCGCGUAGGCAUCCAGGGUUUGGCAACAAAAUAAACUUGAUGCCGCGGCCGCGCACAUGAACACUGAACGUAUGUCAUGCACUCUAGAAAUUACGUACAUUGUAGUCAGGGACUACAGCACACACACUUUGCAGUUCAUACUUGACUUCACAGUUCACUGAUUGGCAUAUAAUGGCCAUAAGCAUAUAAUGGCCAUAAGCAGUAUGCUUAGCAUGAUGUUCCUUUAGCCAGAUUACGGCUGCAAACAAAUGUUCUCGCGCUUCAUUCAAGGUAUGCAGAAUGAAAUACUCCAGGAUAAGUGCCAUUGUUGUUCUAUCUCUUGCGAAUACAAUAGGCCUUUUGCAGCUAUUAAAGCGAAUUCAAGGAUCUAUAGGUAACAUUCAAACAAUCAUCAUUUAAAGCUAGCUGUGAGUAUACUGUUGUUAACUGUGAAAUAGAAGAGGACAUAAACAGAGGGCAGACGAAAUUGAGACGCAAUCGAAAGAGUACUUGUAAAGUACACAAAUCCAUUUGCUCUAUAUACCUUCCAUGUAAUGUGGUCUUGAGCGAACCUUCCAGAUGUGGUUCAAAUUUGUUUUUGAGCAACUCAUCAAAUUCUUCGAUGUUGUAUGUUGUAUGUUGUGUGUUGAUGGCAAGUGUGAUGGCAAUGUCAAAUUAAACUCUCUCAAAAAUCUCUUCAUUAGUUGAUUUUCAAUGGAAUGGUGAUUGGUCGGAAAAUGCGUCAUAGGUAAACAGCCAGAAAUUAUGUACAGCAGUCUUUUAGAUGACAAUGAAGGGGUGUGAUAAAAUUACAUCCAUACAAACGCUCUACCUGGUGACAGAAUUUUAAGAGUAGGCUAAAUCUAUUUCGGAAGCUGUCAAAUUCACCUGACAUAGAAUUCUAAAUUCUAGAGGCUAACACAAAGCACAAUUGGUAGGACAUCUUUGAGGCAAAUGAGAGAGAAAAAGCAUGUCCAACUUUUAAAUUGAUCUGCUGUGAACGCUAUUUUGUAUGGAAUUCUACCAGGUAAGCACAUGUCAUCAACAAGACCUUGUAUUUUCACAAGAUUAGCGUCAACAUGUUUCAUCCAAGCAUUCUUUAAUAUUAUUAUGCUUAGCAGUGCCAAGAUAUAAAUUAUGCAUCGGAUCGAUUAUUGUCAUCCGCACAGGAUCAAAGUACGGAAGGUCUAGGAGCACGGAGUAUCUACACCCCUCCAGUUCUUGUUGCCGUUUAACUGUUGUAGUGUUUUGAUACAUUCUACAUCGCUUCUAUGCUGAGCAUUUGUUUCGGAAUACCAUGUCAAAACCUGAAUAAUUUCUGUUUCCUUUUCAGAGCAACCUAAUUCAGCAGAGUGCCCCAAGAAACCGCACACCUUUCGUGACGACAUGUGAUGCACACCUUACAAGAAUGCACACCUUACAAGCACAGGUCGUUCAAAAGUCUAAUGUGUACUCCAUUCCAACCAUUCCAAAGCUGAAGCAACUAGCUGUGAAUUGAUAUCAUGCUUUGGCUCACGGGGACCUGGCAUGAGGCCAAUGAAUAACACAUUUUCUCGUCUAAAACGCACAUCACGGGAAGUUCAUUAUUGUUAGAUAAAUAGCACCAAUGCUGUCUGUAUUCAACGAUGGUUUAAACCAAUCUAUGUUCAUCAUAAGUCCAUAGGUAUAAGGUUCGGUAAGAAAAGGUUUCCGUUGAAUGUCUUGAACUCAUUCCAUAUUCUCCCAUCAUAUAUACCAUUGUAGACCCCGGGCUUACGUGUAUUUGAGUGUCUCCAGUAUUUGAGUGUCUCCAGUGGUUACUCGUAAGUGGGGCAUAGCAAUAUAUCUUAAGAGGAUAAAGUAUUUGUCUAUUUCCAAACUCAACGCGCUUUAAUAGGCAAUUUCUAUGACAACAUAAUUUUGGCAUUUCCGUUAUACCAACCACUGUGACACACUCCGAAUGUUUGUAUAUGGUAUAACAUUUUUCACAAGCAACAUAUUUUAAAGUUUUCGUAAGAUGAAACUAGCUGAUGGAGUUUGUAUAUGAGUUUGUAUAUAGUAAGUUUCGAAAUAACAGAGAGUUGAGGUGCUGUGCUGUUUUGGAAAGAACUCUGAACAAUAGAAGAGAAAUGGCAACGUCUGGGAUGUAAUGCUUCAGUACCAUAAAGGCAGUACCAUAAUAACAAACCCAAAGUACCACCGAGUGUGUUUCAUGAGAUGGUUCGACAAUUGUGAAAAGAUCUUCGAACUCCUCUGCUUCAUCUUCUUCCCAAACUUCGAUCUCAUCUAUGUUAAAAAUAUGAUGAUAAAAUUAAUAGGAGUAGAGAUUCACACUUACUUGAAGCAUCGAUUCUAAGGAUCUAUCCUCCGCAGCAGAUAUACUGGAAACCCAUCCAUCCUCGUCCAUCUUCCUCUAUACAAAUACAAUGUAUUAAUAAAACCCAUCUACACUAAUAAUAUUUACCGUAUAUAGUUAGUGCCUCGAAAAUAACCUGCUAUUAUGGUAUAAACUAUGACAUUGACAUUGACCAACCUGUAUCAAAGUUCACUAGUGGUGGUGGUGGUGUCUCAUCAGUUUCACCCUCAAAGAAGGAUAUAUCAUCAACAUCAAAGUCAUCUAUAAAAUUAUUGUCAAGAUGAUUGUCUGCUGAAGUCAUUGCAUUAUUGUAUGCUAGAUGUAUUUGGUAAUCCCUUUCUGUCAUUGCGCAUGAGCAGUGCAGAGAGGCAAUGCGGCAACUCUCAGUGAGUUUGACUUUUCUGAGGUAAGACGAUAGCUAUCACAGAUUCUGAGUUACCUUUCUUAUAUUAAUUACCUUUCUUAUGUUCUCCUAGUAGGGCAGCACGACUUCAAGGCAGCCUCUUGAUAGGUUGGAUUCUGACGCUAGUAAUGGGUGAUGUUGGGCGUCACAGGUUCGUAGAAAACGUAAAAGGCGUCGGUCUAAGCCUUGUUCUGAAGAUGAUGCCCCGGUAACAGAAGGCUUCAAAGAAAUCAAGUACGAUCCCUCACUAAAAAAGUGGAUCAAAACGAGAAAGUACUGAAGGAAAUUCAAGAGGCAUGGUUAUAAUGAAUAUCAAAAAUAAAUGUGACUACGACUACGAAGUCUUAUGCACAUUGACCAUUGGCACAUUGACCAUUGGUAUGAUGAUUGCACUAAAAAAACCAACCGAGUCACUAGCGUCUGGUCAUUAUUUUGGGUGUACUGCUGGUGUACUGCUGAUUAAACACUAAACUUGUUGUGUGCCAUAAUUAUAUAUAAUUAUGUUCGGUGCAGGGCUUCUACUUGUCCUUCAAGUUCAGACUGUACUCCAACAAGGAAGAAAAGUGUUUCUCUGAAAGUUCGGCACGAAGUAAGGCAAAUUUACAAGAAUCUUGUGGACGACAAGGAGAAUUUCAAUGGCUGGUGUACUUCUCCAGGAUGAGAACAAUACUGUAAUGAAGACGGUCAUAAAAGAGGUCAAAGGACACGUUCAAUGCAGCAGACAUUAGAGGUUAGCACUUGAUAUACAUUUUAUGUGAUGUUGUACAGAUGCUGCAUAUCGCGAAGAAGACUCUUUGAAAAGAUCUGGAAAAAUGGAAGAGAAAAAAUUGGGAGAAGACGUCACGAAAGAAUAACUUGGAAGCGUGUUCUGAAGGAGGCUGGAGUUGUGAAGAGAGUACGAUCGAGUGCUGGAGUUGUCAGUGGAGAUGUGAAGGACGGUGGAGAGGCUGCACUGAAAAAAACUUGGUGGGUGCUCCAACCCAUGGUGUGAUGCCCCACCACUAGCUAAUUGGUGUGAAUGUCCCACUUUAAUAUUGGUGGGAUUCCAAUUAAGAAAAGAUAUACGGAACAACAAAAGAUGUAGUGGCUGAAAGUACGUAUACAUGUCUUCGGAAGAAAGUGGAGAAGAAGAUUCCAUGGUUGUUCACUGUUUGCCCUGGAGGUCUACAUGCGUUAAUCUAAUGUUUGAUAGAAUCGAUAAGUAUUGUCUUUUGAAAAAGUCACCUCAGGCAAGGAGGCAAACUAAAACGAGAAUCCAAGGAGAAAGUUUAACUCGACCCAUCCCGGCCGUCUCCAAAUCCCCUAACUCGUUACUGUACAGACAGUAUAAUUUAUUAAUUGAUCUCUGAUUUUUCAAUUCUUUGUAUCUUAUUUUGUGCUUGAUACAGGGAUUAUAAUACCUU